rnacentral:misc_RNA from 1 species
ACACCUCAACUCUCAUGGUUUGCCAUGAUGAGCUUGGACUUUGGGGGUCUUGCUGGCCUUAUGGGUCAGCUCCUCUCAAAUGGAUCAGCUUGCCAGUGUUUGGUGGCGUCACAGGUGUGAUAACUAUCUACGCUUGUGGCUCUCUGCCAGAUAACCUUCAGCAAUGGAGGUCCACUGGAGCUCAUAAAUGUCUCUCCUCAGCGAGGACAGCUCUUUGAAU